AUUUUCCUUUUAGUCAGCAUUAGGGUUUUAAACCCUAAACUGAACUUUUUCUUUCAGCCAGCAUUAGAGUUUUAAACUCUAAACUGAGCUUUUCCAUGCAAUCAGCAUUAGGGUUUUAAACCCUAAAACUGAAUUUUCCUUGUAGUCAGCAUUAGGGUUUAAACCCUAAACUGAACUUUUUCCUUUUUAGCCAGCAUUAGAGUUUUAAACUCUAAACUGAUCUUUUCCAUACAAUCAGCAUUAGGGUUUUAAACCCUAAACUGAAUUCUCCCUUUGUUCGGCGUUAGGGUUUUAAACCCCAAACCGAACCUCUCCCCAGCUAGCCGGUGUUAGGGCUCCAACCCUGAACUGAGCAUGCAUAUCCUCCUUCAUCAAUU
rnacentral:lncRNA from 1 species